CCCAGGGGCCAUACCACCCUGAACGCGCCCGAUCUCGUCUGAUCUCGGAAGCUAAGCAGGGUCGGGCCUGGUUAGUACUUGGAUGGGAGCCUCAUAUUUCUUAUCUAUAAAGGAAAAUAAUAUUCUGUACCUUGAA
rnacentral:rRNA from 1 species